rnacentral:lncRNA from 1 species
UUCAGGUUAUCACACCAUAUGAAGUGAAAGCGCCGUUGGGACUAUUCGCGGUGCAUAGAACUUCCAUGGCAGCACGGGCGAUUCCAAGGCCCACUUGAGCUCCUCCUGCUGAUGUCAGACGGUGAGAUUUCUCAACCUGCACUCUAUUAGCCAUGUAAGAUUGCUUUGCUAGAGAUCAUUUAUUUCUUGCCAUCCAUUCGUUAUAAACUUGAUUCUUCGUCACGAAUGGAUCCUUAAUUAUGUGUGUCAUGUUGUUUCCCUGAAAACGGACGAUCGAGUCACAUUUCUUAUUUUCUGUUGUGAGUUGAGGAGCUUGCGGUUUUAAAAGUAUGUCUCAGUUGUAAGAAUGUGGAAAUGAUGGACAGGUAGCAAUUUUUUUAUAUUUUCUGUUUAUAUCCAAUAUUAAGUAGUUAUUAACUCCAUGGCACAGGACUGUACUUUUUGUAGAUGUAGUAGCUUUUGAUUUCCAUUUAGUUAUGGCUUUAUCUCCGCUUUUACAUACUGAUUAGGAUUUCCAUUUAGUCAGGGUCACAAAGUCUUUGUGCCAGGAUUCUUCCCUUUGUAAAUGUGAAAGCGGCUUGUACAAUCUAUUCACAGACUUGCUCUGCUGCUUUGUAGCCCAACUGAUUAUGUACUCUUGAUCGUCCUCAUGGCAU